GACGAACGCUGGCGGCGUGCUUAACACAUGCAAGUCGAGCGGUAAGGCCCUUUCGGGGGUACACGAGCGGCGAACGGGUGAGUAACACGUGGGUGACCUGCCCUCAGCUCUGGGAUAAGCCUGGGAAACUGGGUCUAAUACUGGAUAUGACUCCACGGUGCAUGUCGUGGGGUGGAAAGCCUUGUGCGGCUGAGGAUGGGCCCGCGGCCUAUCAGCUUGUUGGUGGGGUGANGGCCUACCAAGGCGACGACGGGUAGCCGGCCUGAGAGGGCGACCGGCCACACUGGGACUGAGACACGGCCCAGACUCCUACGGGAGGCAGCAGUGGGGAAUCUUGCGCAAUGGGCGAAAGCCUGACGCAGCGACGCCGCCGUGAGGGAGUGAC
rnacentral:rRNA from 1 species